rnacentral:rRNA from 1 species
UACGAAGGGGGCUAGCGUUGCUCGGAAUCACUGGGCGUAAAGGGUGCGUAGGCGGGUCUUUUAAGUCAGGGGUGAAAUCCUGGAGCUCAACUCCAGAACUGCCUUUGAUACUGAGGAUCUUGAGUUCGGGAGAGGUGAGUGGAACUGCGAGUGUAGAGGUGAAAUUCGUAGAUAUCGCAAGAACACCAGUGGCGAAGGCGGCUCACUG